rnacentral:rRNA from 1 species
AGUGAACGCUGGCGGCAGGCCUAACACAUGCAAGUCGAGCGGCAGCGGGUCCUUCGGGCUGCCGGCGUGCGGCGGACGGGUGAGGAAUACAUCGGAAUCUGCCCUGUCGUGGGGGAUAACCUCGGGAAACUUAGGCUAAUACCGCAUACGACCUACGGGUGAAAGCGGGGGAUCGCAAGACCUCGCGCGACAGGAUGAGCCGAUGUCCGAUUAGCUAGUUGGCGGGGUAAAGGCCCACCAAGGCGACGAUCGGUAGCUGGUCUGAGAGGAUGAUCAGCCACACUGGGACUGAGACACGGACCAGACUCCUACGGGAGGCAGCAGUGGGGAAUAUUGGACAAUGGGCGCAAGCCUGAUCCAGCCAUGCCGCGUGUGUGAAGAAGGCCUUCGGGUUGUAAAGCCCUUUUGUCCGGGAAGAAAUCGUCUGGGCUAAGACCCCGGGCGGAUGACGGUACCGGAAGAAUAAGCACCGGCUAACUUCGUG